rnacentral:rRNA from 1 species
GACGAACGCUGGCGGCGUGCUUAACACAUGCAAGUCGAGCGGUAAGGCCCUUUCGGGGGUACACGAGCGGCGAACGGGUGAGUAACACGUGGGUGACCUGCCCUCAGCUCUGGGAUAAGCCUGGGAAACCGGGUCUAAUACUGGAUAUGACUCCAUGACGCAUGUUGUGGGGUGGAAAGCCUUGUGCGGCUGAGGAUGGGCCCGCGGCCUAUCAGCUUGUUGGUGGGGUGANGGCCUACCAAGGCGACGACGGGUAGCCGGCCUGAGAGGGCGACCGGCCACACUGGGACUGAGACACGGCCCAGACUCCUACGGGAGGCAGCAGUGGGGAAUCUUGCGCAAUGGGCGAAAGCCUGACGCAGCGACGCCGCGUGAGGGAUGACGGCCUCGUGUAACUCUUCUAGCUCGCGAAGCGAGAGUGACGGUAGGAGACGAGAAGAAGACGACCGGCCGAA